rnacentral:lncRNA from 1 species
UCUUCUGAAGCUUGGACAAGCUAGGAUGUCCUAAACGACUGUGAAGUAGGUCUGGAGGAUCUGCAACUAGACAGGCCUUGGAGGAUUUUAGUGAGUGAAGAUAGUAGAGUCUUUUGGAUUCAAGUCAUGUUCCAAUCGUUUGUGCCGUACUGCGAUCCUGCAUAAUAAACGAAUCAUCAAUAAAAUAUAUACCACAAUGGAUGGCACGAGUCAAACGACUAACAGAUGCAAGAUUAAAAGGACAGCCAGGGACAUAAAGAACGGAAUCUAGAGUGACAGGGGUAGGGGAUUCGCUUGUCUAACUUCUUUUGCUUUAGUUUGAGACCCAUUGGCUAAAGUAACGUUGGGAAGAAACUGUGAAUACGCAAUAUUUGACAAAAAGGAUUUAUUACCAGAGCUAACAGAUGCAAGAUUAAAAGGACAGCCAGGGACAUAAAGAACGGAAUCUAGAGUGACAGAGGGUAGGGGAUUCGCUUGUCCAACUCCUUUUGCUUUACUUUGAGAUCCAUUGGCUAAAGUAACAUUGGGAAG